CAACUACUCCCUCCGUUCUGAAUUACUUGUCUUGGAUUUGUCUAGAUACGGAGGUAUCUAGCACUAAAAUGAGUCUAGAUACAUCCGUAUCUAGACAAAUCCAAGACAAGUAAUUUGGAACGGAGGGAGUACAAA
rnacentral:pre_miRNA from 1 species